rnacentral:lncRNA from 1 species
AUCUGAUCGUUGUGUUGUUGGAGGUGUUCAAAACUCUCUACAGUCUGUGUUGGACUUGACCACUUAUGUCAUGGGCAUAAUAAUAUCUAAUCCCGGUAAUCUCUCACUUUGUUUUUUCGGUGAACCUUUGCAUGGAAUGUGAAUCUAUUUGCCAGCUCUAUUGAGUUGUCAUUAUACUUGGUCCUUCUUGCAAAUUAUCCACCUCAUAAUUGCCUAGACUUUGACGUGUGGAAAUUGAUCUUCCAUUUAGAGAAAGGAUGGGAAACAUAACGGAAGAUGUCCUCAUCCAGCAACACAAACGCUUGAAAAUAUUCACCUUUAUUUGUGAUCUUGUAUGAGCCUCCGCAUGUUUGUCUCUAUGGGCUUAAUUUUAGCACACGCUCACACAACUGGCAUAAACACUAAUCAGAGAGGAAGGGACAGGAAAAACAAAUAUUUCAUGCUAAACAUUUUUUUGGGUCCUCCCGAAAUCUCAAUCUCAAGGUAUUUGUUAGUUCUGUUGAUUUGGGAAAAUUGAAAAGUUCUGCUCUGGUUAAUUUUCCUCUCUUGCCCUCUUUGGCCGAUGAUAAAAUCACCAAGUUAUACGAAAAUUAACGAACUUUGAAGAUCAACAGCUGAGGAACAUCUUUCGUGUUCUUUUCACCACAGUAGUCUUGAGGAUUUACAUUGUCCAACUCUUUAAUACGAUCUGCUGCCUUGUUGAUUAGGACUUCUGGAAGUUGAUAAUCUUAUCUUUGCUCGUGGUGACACUGGCUGCAGUACUGUACAGUAUACACAUUUAUCGCGUAAGAAAGCAUCUCUUUCAUUUGGAGAAGCUGUAUCCACUUGUCAGAAUUGUUUUCAGGUCGACUUAGUUUUUGCUUUACUUCGGAACUUGAUACGUAGAUUUGUUUAUUAUGGCACUGCUUUCUGCUGUCAAUUU